CCCUUAGAUGUUCUGGGCUGCACGCGCGCUACACUGAUGCGUUCAACGAGUUUUUAGCUUAUCUGAUAAGAUUGGCUAAUCUUCUGAAAACGCAUCGUGAUGGGGAUAGAUUAUUGUAAUUAUUAAUCUUCAACGAGGAAUUCCUAGUAGGUGUGAAUCAUCAGUUCACGCCGAUUACGUCCCUGCCCUUUGUACACACCGCCCGUCGCUCCUACCGAUUUCGAGUGGUUCGGUGAACCUUUCGGACCGGCAAUGCCUCGUGUUGCGCCGGAAAGUCAAGUAAACCAUAUCACUUAGAGGAAGGAGAAGUCGUAACA
rnacentral:rRNA from 1 species